rnacentral:miRNA from 1 species
UGGACCUUGGCACUGGGAGAAUUCACAGUGGAUCGUACCAUAUCGUUUCUGUGGAUCUUUUCGUGCCA